rnacentral:rRNA from 1 species
UAAUGUAUGGGGAUCUGCCCGAUAGAGGGGAAUAACUACUGGAAACGGUGGCUAAUACCGCAUAAUGUCUACGGACCAAAGCAGGGGCUCUUCGGACCUUGCACUAUCGGAUGAACCCAUAUGGGAUUAGCUAGUAGGUGGGGUAAAGGCUCACCUAGGCGACGAUCUCUAGCUGGCCUGAGAGGAUGAUCAGCCACACUGGGACUGAGACACGGCCCAG